AUGACCAUACCUUCGUUUUCUUUGAGUACGUCUCCAAUGGGCUUUUCCUUCGAAGUUUCUUAGACGCGCCAUUUUUCUUCGAUUGUUUAGGAUUGCAUAUGCUCCUGCCGAUAGUAUUUUGCAAUCCAGUACCUUGUGAGGCUAACUGAACUGUGUGCUACAACAAGAUAUCACUUCCACUACUCGACUUUAUCAUCGUAAGCUCUUUCUUUAUAGAUUGAAUCCUAUCCAUUAUCGUAUGUGAUCGAACUUCAUCAUCUGCUGCGAAGUCUACCACCAAACGCCUCGCCCAUAUUGUCGUGCCUCAACUUUUCAGGAGUACUAACCCACUGUAAUUAACUGCUAUCUGUUGGGAAUUUACUUAAACAUGUACAGCGGAAUUAAACAAAUUUCAAUUCUCAUUCAGGAUUCAACUUUGUAUUUAGAUAAGAACUGUGAUAAGAAAUAUACAUUUUCUUGAUUUUGCAAAUUCCUUCGCGUUAUUCCUUUCCAGCAUCUUGAAUCUGCCUCCCACAGCUGUCCAAUUGUCCAACCUCCAAUGAAAUCCACACAGAGAAUAGAUUGCAACUGCUAAGGUUUUUCCUCUUGUGGCAGCAAAAAUAAUGAAAACCUUAUGGACCUCAAACCCUAACCAUGUAUUUAUAUAAACCCAAACGGGCUCGGCCUGGUCCGAUCCAAUGUAUAAUUAAUCCAUUUAAUUAAAACCGAUCCGUGAAUUAAUUAAUCCAAUUAAUUCGAGAAUAUAAAUAACAAAUCCAAUUAAUUAAUUUAUCCAACGAUUGUUAAAUUAAUCAAUUGGCAAUUUGCAAUCUUUCAAUUCUCUUUUGUGUGUGACCCAUUAGAUUCCUAACCAUGAUGCCUAAUGACGUGAAAUAUUAUUUUGAUCUAAUCAAAACUGAUAAAUUAAACACCCUUUUAAUUUAUCACAGAUUCACACUCGUCAUCUCAAAUUGACAUCUAGCAAUAUAUUAGGGCAACACGUGACGGGAAAUGUCACGUGGUAUGACAAAACCAAAACUGUUCGUUUACUAUGAAAUUAUAGUCCCUUCGUCAAUAUGAUCCGA
rnacentral:lncRNA from 1 species